GGUCAGGUUCCCGAGCGGUCAAAGGGGGCAGACUGUAAAUCUGCUGGCGCAGCCUUCGGAGGUUCGAAUCCUCCCCUGACCACCA
rnacentral:tRNA from 1 species